UACAGAGGGGGCAAGCGUUGUUCGGAAUUACUGGGCGUAAAGGGCGCGUAGGCGGCCUGCUAAGUCGAACGUGAAAUCCCCGGGCUCAACCCGGGAACUGCGUCCGAUACUGGUGGGCUUGAAUCCGGGAGAGGGAUGCGGAAUUCCAGGUGUAGCGGUGAAAUGCGUAGAUAUCUGGAGGAACACCGGUGGCGAAGGCGGCAUCCUGGACCGGCAUUGACGCUGAGGCGCGAAAGCUAGGGUAGCAAACGGG
rnacentral:rRNA from 1 species